UGCUGGGUUCAACUGGUUACUAGCAUUAUCCCUUAAACCAUAGGUCUCGGGUUCGAUUCCCGCCUAAGCAA
rnacentral:tRNA from 1 species